CAAAAUAUAGCUUAACCAAAGCCCCUCGCUUACACCGAGAAAAUAUCCGUGAAAAUCAGAUUAUUUUGA
rnacentral:tRNA from 2 species